UGGACGUUCUUAAUGCGCGGAAUGAUUUGUCUGGUUCAUCCGGAUAACGAAGGAGACUCAAAUAUAUUAAAUAAAUUCUGUCACGAUCUUGAUAUUGAAGCUUUUAAUGGUUUUCAUUUACGAACGUAGCAAAAUGUUUGGAGCCAUAUCUGUUGGUUUGUCCUUUUAUAGGACGCUAGGUUCUUAAAUAGACUUAAAUUGCGUCUAGAAAUAAUGAGAUUGAGCAAUAACAGGUCUGUGA
rnacentral:ncRNA from 1 species